rnacentral:lncRNA from 1 species
CCCACUGUGUGCUCUCUUUCAGGCGCUGGACGUCUGGGCUACGGGCAUCACUUUGUACUGCUUUGUCUACGGGAAGUGCCCUUUCAUCGAUGACUCCAUCCUGGCCCUGCACCAGAAGAUCAAGCAUGAGGAAGUGGGAUUCCCAGAGCAGCCCCUGAUCAGCGAGUCUCUGAAGGACCUGAUCCUCCGCAUGUUGGACAAGGAUCCCCAGACGAGGAUCGUGAUCCCGGAGAUCAAGGUGCACCCCUGGGUGACCAAGAACGGGGCGUGUCCGCUCCCCUCGGAGGAGGAGCACUGCAGCAUGGUGGAGGUGACGGAGGAGGAGGUGAAGAACUCGGUGAAGCUGGUCCCUCGGCUGCCCACAGUGAUCCUGGUGAAGGCCAUGCUGAGGAAGCGCUCCUUUGGGAAUCCAUUCGAAGCCCACUUCAGAUCCGAGGACAGGACUCCGCCAAGAAACGUAUUAAAGAAGGACGCCUGUAACAAAGAAGUGCCUGAGCCCCGAGAGGACCAGCCGGCCUCCUGAGCUCCCCGGCCCCCUCGGGGGUCCUCGCACCGCUGCCGUCGCCAUUCAUCCCGGGAUCAUGCGCCCACCCCAUGGACGACGUCACGGCCGAGCGAAGGUUGUGAGGAGGAGGGUCCCGGGGACGGGAGCGUGGGGGACCUUGUUUACAGCCAGGCCCGGGCCCGGAGCCAGCCCCGAGUCUGCGCCUCAUCUCCCCGGGCCGCCCCCGACUGAUGAAUGUGCUUAAUUUAUGAUUCAGUGGAGCUGCCGCCCCCUGGGGGGGGGAGGAACCUCUCCCUGCGAGUUACCGGGGCCCCUGCAGCGCGGAGGGGGAGGGGGCCCCGCAGACUCUGCUCUCCCCCCGGACCAAGAAGGCAAAGGCCCCCCCACCCCGGCAGUAACUGGAAUCGGGACCCUUCCCAAAGGCGCCCCCAGCCUUCCUGGUCUGGACCGUUGGGGUCCCCGGGGAAAGGUAGACGUUGAGCCGACCUCGGAGACGCCCCCACUUCUCCUCAGGAGCGGCCGGAGCCUGGGGGGGGGGGGGGCAGCCCCUGGUCUCGCCCUCGGCCGGGGGCUCUGCACUAAACUGGCCCCUCCCCAGGGCCCCUCCCCGCGGCCAAGGCCAGGGCCGCCCCGCCUGGAGGCGGCUUAAGCUGCGGCGCUGACCGUGGUGCUGGUGAACCCUGCCCCAAGUCCGGCCCGAGAGCAGAGAAAGGAAACGUGCUGACGCGGAAAGCCCCGCCCUCCCCCUUCCCCUCUGCCAAGCAGCCAGUUCCGAGAAAAGGGAUCUGGGGGCCCGGCCCCGCCCCGCGCUUCCUCCACGGGCCUGACUGCACGCUCUGCAUGCUCCGGCUCCCACCGGGGGCGGGGCCUGAGGAGGCCUGCGUGCGCCGCAAAGGGAGCCGGCCUGGCCUGCCUCCUGGGGGUCCCCUGCGGCGGGGGGCAGCAGCCCCGGGUGUCUGGCCCCGCCCCCAGCUUGUGCCAGACCGGGGAGGGAGCCCAGAAGCCUGUACAUACUCAUUAAAGUGUACAUACGCAAGGGGCGUCUCCGUCCUUCUCCCGGCUUCCCCAGCGGCCCUCGGGCCCGCGCCCCCGGAAGGGCGCAAAGCCCCUCCCCCGCCUCCGCCGGGGGCUCCCCGUCCAGCCUUCUGGGGCCGCUCUCCCCUCCCCCCGGACAGGGAAGGGGCGGCCGGGUCUGGGGGGGCUCCCCACCGUGGGAGAAGGACCCUGUGGUGAGAGUGGGGCACGUGCCGCAGGGGCUUCUGGGAGAGGUCCCCCACAACCCUGAAGCCGAGGCUCCUGCGGGGAUGAAAACAGCGGCGCCUCGGCCUCCGCCUCGGGGGGCGCUAGAGAGCACGACCCGGGCGGGGGAGGGGUGCCGCUCACCGCCGGCCACUGGGCCUCCAGUCACUCACACGUCAUGUGACCUUGGGGCGGGGCGGGGCAAUGACUGACUGGGGGGAGGAGGAAGCUCCCUCAGGGAAACAGGAAGCAGGGGCUGUGCCGACCAAUCGGAUGUCACGGAGAGUAGGUUCUUCCGGCUGGGGAUUCCGGACGGAUUUUCAGGUGGCGCGGCGCGACCUUCUUCCCAGCAGGCCCCGCUCCUGGGUCCAGUUCGACGGGAAAUCUGCUCCGUGAGCGGAAGGUUCCGGGCCUGCUGGCUGAGCCCGUCCGGAGUGAGGGCAGGUGCCGGCGUCCGCCCGAGGGGGGGGCUCCCUGAUGGGGCCCGCGGGAGGCAGCCUCCGACACCCGCUCACCGGGUAGCCCUGCGCCCGUGGCUUCACCGCCGCCUGCCUCAGUUUCCUCCUCUGUAAAGCGGGGACCGCGGUGCUGACCCCGACCCAGGGCUGACGUCAUCCCCUGGGGAGAGACAGAGAGUGAUAAGGAGAAAUGGGGGGGGCGGGGGGGGAGACAGAACGACGGGGGCCACGGAGGUAGGGAGAGGCUCGGAGACAGGGAGAGCCGGGCCCAUGGCUCUGGCGUCCGCGCUGGUCCUCGCCCGCCGGGCUCGGGCGCCGCGGGCACCAAGCACAUCCUUUGUUCCCGGCUCCAGCCUCCGGGGGUUGGGCCCGCGGCCCCAGGACCAGCUUUCCCGGUGCCAGGAGAGACCGGGGGGGCGGUGCCGUGCACGGAGCUCCGGCCCCGAGUUCAAAUCCGGCUGUGUGACCCUGGGCAAGGCACUUAACCCCGACUGCCCCGGGGGGAAGAGACCGGUGGUCCCGCGCGCCCCCCCCCAGAGGAGGCCCACGAGGAGCUGCCCAACUGCGCCGGCCCGUCCUGGGAGAAGAUCCCUGAUGCUCCCCUCGCACACGCGACUCCCGGGUUCCUGCGGAGAUUGGGGCGUUGGGGUCCCCAGUGCCCCCAAAUCCGCCCAGGCGGCCUCCGGGUGAGGGGAGCCUGUCCCCCGGGCCCCGACCCCAAGGGCCCUACAACCGGGGCUCUAGGCAGAACGCUGCUGGGGCGCGCUGCUGAGCCCAGACAGGAAGGAGGCGGCGUCAGAGGGGCCGGAGGCGCGGGCUCCCCCGAAGGGGGGUCCUCGGGAGCCCUGCGACCGAACCCCCGGAAGCUGGAGCUGGGACGCGUCCGGCAGAGCCCGGGCCACGGCCCUUCCUGUUCUGCCGCCGGCUCCCGCUUGGCCCCGGGUCUCGGGGUUCGCAGGAAGGGGCCGGAAGAACGAAGGGGCCUCAGUGCCCACAGUGCCCACAGUGCCCGGGCCGGGCGAGGGACGCCGGGCGGGCAAGAGCCGGUGUGGAUGCCAGAGCCCCGGCCCAGAGGCAGUAACUGGUCCCUAGACGUGCCGCCUUGGGGGCUGGGAGACCUCCUCCCGCCAUAAAGCUGGCCCGGCCUUCCCC